UUUGGGAAAAAAUCUAAAGUCUAACCUGCCCACUGAAUUUUGAAGGGCCGCAGUAUUUUGACUGUGCAAAGGUAGCAUAAUCAUUUGUCUCUUAAUUGGAGACUGGAAUGAAUGGUUGGAUGAAAUUAAAACUGUCUCAUUUUAUUAAGUAUAAUAACUUAUUUUUUUAGUUAAAAAACUAGAAUUUUUAAAAAAGACGAGAAGACCCUAUAGAGUUUUAUAUAUUUUAAAAUAAGUUAUUUUGUAAUUAAUUAAAUUUAUUUUUUAAUAUAUUUGGUUGGGGUGGUUGGAAAAUUAGAGUAACUUUUCUUUAAUUAAACAUUAAUUUAUGAUUUAAUGAUCCAUUGUUUUUGAUUAUAAGAUUAAAUUACCUUAGGGAUAACAGCACAAUUUUUUUACAGAGUUCUUAUUUAUAAGAGAGAUUGUGACCUCGAUGUUGAAUUAAAAUUAACUUAAGGUGCAGCAGCUUUAGGGUUAAGUCUGUUCGACUUUUAAAAUUUU
rnacentral:rRNA from 1 species